UAGCUUAUGCUCAACAUUUACUCUGAGUGGAGCAAUCCCUCAUUGUACAUUUACGCUUGUAUUGUUUGACUGUAAUAGUGAAUAUAUAAAGAGAAACAACUUUUAACAAUGGAUCUCUUGGCUCUUGCAACGAUGAAGAACGCAGUAAAGUGCGAUAUCUAGUGCGAUUUGCAUGAAUCUGUGAGUCAUCGAGUCUUUGAACGCAACUUGCGCCAAUUGAGCAAUCAAUUGGCAUGUCUGUUUGAGUAUCACAAACCCCUUUAUUCCAUUUAUGGAAUAGAUUUGAAGGCUCUGGAGUUUCCAGUCCUUUGAAAUAAAGUUUGUUGGUGAUUGAUUUUGUCACUAUCAUGUGCUAAAGACCUUGUGUCUUGUCAUGAUAGCUGCCUUAAGAAGUCCCAUUGUACAAAUCUCUUGUACAAAACUUACCUUUAAUGGUCUCAAAUCAGGCAAGACUACCCGCUGAACUUAA
rnacentral:rRNA from 1 species